GGGCCCGCACAAGCGGAGGAACAUGUGGUUUAAUUCGAUGAUACGCGAGGAACCUUACCCGGGCUCGAACGGCAGAGGAAUAUGGUGGAAACAUCAUAGCUAGCAAUAGUCUCUGUCGAGGUGCUGCAUGGUUGUCGUCAGCUCGUGCCGUGAGGUGUCGGCUUAAGUGCCAUAACGAGCGCAACCCUUAUCGUUAGUUACCAUCAGGUCAAGCUGGGGACUCUAGCGAGACUGCCACCGUAAGGUGUGAGGAAGGUAUGGAUGACGUCAAAUCAGCACGGCCCUUACGUCCGGGGCUACACACGUGUUACAAUGGGCGGUACAAAGGGCAGCUACUUGGCAACAAGAUGCUAAUCUCUAAAACCGCUCCCAGUUCGGAUCGAAGUCUGCAACCCGACUUCGUGAAGCUGGAUUCGCUAGUAAUCGCGCAUCAGCCAUGGCG
rnacentral:rRNA from 1 species